GAUUUAUUUAAUAUUUUUAAAGUUCUAAAAAAAAUUCUAGCUGAAAUGAAUUUAGUUGAUCUGGAUAAGAUUAGUAAUCUCUAUGUAGACUAGGUAAUAAAUAUAAUAUAGAACACUGGGGGUAAAAUUAUUUUACAUAAUAUUUUUAAAUCCUCGGGACCCACCAAUUAACGAAAAAUUAAUAAACUCAAAAUACCCCACCUUCAUUGCCAAAAUUAGAUAAUAGUCCUACAAAUGUACAAUUAAACCAUUUGCUAAAUUUUGUAUUUCUUCAGAAUGAAUGAUCAUAAAUUAUAAUUUUCUAAUGACAGCCCAUGCCAUUAGUGACGGAAUCUUCCAAAGUUGAUUUCUGGAUAUGUGACGAGGAUUACUAGAAAAAGAAGAGCUUUAACUAAAAAUUUUAUAUUAUGUCUGAAAAAGGGGGUUAAGACAACAUUAAAUUAUAUAAAAUUAUACUUGCAUAAAAAAGAUGAUUUAUUUCAUCAUUGUAUUAUUGAAAUCUAUAGAUCAACACAGCUGGCUUAAAAAAAAUAUUUUCAUUCAUUAAAUUCGGGUGACAAAAUUUUGAUGCAUGUGCAGGUAAUACAAACUAUAACUAAAUAAAGAGCAAAAACAAGUAAAACUAUAUUAUUUGAAAAAAAUAACAGUCAUUUAAGGUGGUAGCUAACACUACAGGGAGAUAACUCUGUAAAGUCAGCUAAACGUUUUAAUUACGUUGUGUUGUAAAAGGAAUAUACAGCUUCUCAAUGAUAAAAAUUGGAUUUUGUCAAAGUGCUAUAUAACCAGUAUUUUUUCUGACAAAACAGUUGGUUCAAAGUUUUUUGAAUAUUUAUAUUUUUGUUGAAGGGUCAAUGUAAAUACUUUGACAAAAUUUUACGAAAAUUAAACUAGCCAAAUAAAUUCUAGUGAAAGUGUUGGGUACCACCUUAAACAUCAAGUUGAAUAUAUAUGGUCUGCAUGCAAGUUUUAUAAAGCUAAGGUGUUAAUAUUUAAUGCAUGUUGAUAUGAGCUGCAUCAGAUAGAAAUCAACUCUUUGCAAAUGCAUGUAUGCAUGUACAUAUAAAAGAUAUUAAUUAAUUUAAGAAAAUAUGAGUUUUAGUAUGUUUUGUAGAUUUUUCUUACAACAAAUCAUUUUUUUGAACAGUUACAGACUUGCAACAAAUAUUUUUCAAUUCGAAAAAGAUUUAAUGUUCAUUUGCGUAUGGUUGAUUUGUACCUGAUGAGGCCCAUAGAUUAUAUAAAUUUUAUUCCAUGUUGUUAACAUUCCAUUUUACAUGUAUUUUAUAAUGAAUGAGUGAUGGUGACAGAAAUGGAUAAAUGUCAUGUGAGAUAUAGAAUUGUAUAUGAUAUAUGCAAUGGAUUUAUAUUUUUUAUUAAGAUUUAUCAAAUUAAUUUGAUUUGCUGUAUUGGUUAAACCAGAUUAUCAGAAAACUGCUUUUUUUCCAAAUGUUUUGGUAAUUUUCCCCCACUACCCUCACUUUUCCCCAUGCUAUACUGUUUUAAGCCUCCAUUCCCCACUUCCCAAAAGCUUGUCAACCCUCUGGAAAUAACUUACAAACAUAACUAUUGCAUUUAAGUCAUAAAAAAUGAGUGACCGGUGAAAAAUACAAACAUCAUAAACUUAGUCUUCUGUGCAUGAUUUUAUCAUUUUUUUUCACAUAAAUUUCGUAUAAUAGUCAUUUUUUUUUUCAAUCGGAAAAUGUUGUUGUGAAAAUAUGGCAGGUAAUUAAAGUUCGUGUUUUGAAGCAGAGGUAUAACGAUUGUUACCUGUUUGUCAACAAUCCACAAAAAAGCAUGGAUAUUGUUUUACAUGUACAAUCAAAUAAUAGUUUAUUUUUAGGACAUCCAUGCAUAUUGCAAUCUCCAGAUUUUUACGAGAUGGGUCACACUGAGGUCACUUUGCAUACGGAAAAUAUGUUAGGGAAAUUGCUUCCUAGAAAGAAGCAAUUAAAAUAAAGUAAACUUCUUCUAAAUAUGAACAAAUUGAAGAUUUUUCUUCAGAAAAAAGUAUCUGUACAAAAGUUUUAAAAUGAAAACUAUCCAUUUCAUUGAGUUAUAAAAAAAACAUAUGCAUUAUUUUUUUAAUUUGAGGUUUCUUAUGACUUUAAUCAAUUAGGGUUCAAUAAUUAAGAAGUUGGAAACUUGACUUUCUAACAACAAAGAAAAAAUAUUUAAUAAUUCAUUUUCCAUUAUGUUAACAUUGGGGUGAAGUCAUCUAACUGAAUUUUCUUUUAAAACUUUUCAGGAGGCAUGUUUCCACACUAAGUUCUUAUUUAUAGUUCAGCUCGAUUGUGCAUAAUCUCGAGGCAAACAAAAAUGUUUUGUAUCAUUAAUGUAAUUUUACUUAUUGUUUUGUCCAGUUAUAUUUUGUAAAUUGAUUUACAACCAAAAUUUUACAUGUGUUUCCCAAUUUUUUCUUGCAAGCAGUCAAUUGUAUUUAUUCUUUUUAUUUAGAGCAAUUUUUAAAUUGUUACAUCAAACUUAUUCAGAUUAAUUAAUAAAAAUCAGUUGUAAAAUAACAAGAAAAAAGCAAUUUAAUACAACUGAUUAUAUUGACAUUAUAAUGCAAAUUGUAAGGCAGUGUUGGUUAAAUAUAACUUGCAAAAAUGUUUGUUAACUCUUGUUUGGUUUUGGUUGUAAUUGUUAUGUUGUGAAUUAACUGGAAUAUUAUGAAUUAUUCAUUGUAUGGAUGUAUGAUUGGAAAAUUCGUUUUUAUUAUUAUGUAUAUAUGUAUAUGUAUGCCAAAAACAGUUAUUUCAGAUCUGGGACAAGUUAGCAUUUAUUUCUUUACCAAAAUAACUCAUUUUUUUUCCUCUUACAAAAUUAACACUUUAACAGCAUUUUUUUUGGUUGGAAAAAUGUAGAUGAAUGAUUUUGAAAUUGCAGAUUUAUUCUUGUUUUUAUAUUGAUACGAUUGUUAUGUACACCUAUAUUGAUACGAUUGUUAUGUACACCUAUAUUGAUACGAUUGUUAUGUACACCUAUAUUGUAUUCAGCAACAUGUUGAACCAAGUUUUCAAUGAAAAAUUAAGGGGAAUACAUUCACAGGGAAAAAAGACUAUAUAAUCUUACUUUUAAAAUCAGUAUUACAUUUUUUAUAAAAACUGUAAAUUCAGAAAUUGAUGCCUGAACUUGUAGUGAUUAUUAAACAUGUGUACUUCAGCAUAAAUGGCGAGUCAUUAUGUACCCCUGCAAAAAAGAUAACCAUCAAAUUAUGAUUUUGCAAAUAAAUUAAAUUGUAAAUAAUUUAUUGUGAAUAAAGGAAAUGCAGAAUACAAAAGUUAACCAAAAUUUUAAAUGCAAAGUUUAAUUUUUGCAUAUAAACUCCUGUUGCAAUUUUUUGAAAUAUUAAAAACAUUGUAAAAAUUCGGAAUUUGCAAUAAAUGAAUUAUCAAGGAAAUGUUGGAUUGUUUUCCUCAUUGCUUUAUCAAUGAAUUCAAAGGUUUAAUGCCAAAGCUGUAAGAUAUUACAAAAAAAAAUUCAUUUCAUUUCAAUAUAAAAAAUAUGCAUGUAAUUCCUUUCUUUGCAAUUUAUGUCCUUUUGUAUGAAUGGUGAGUCAUUAUAUACCCUUGGCAAAAAAAAUAACCAUCAAAUUAUAAUUUAGUAAAAAUGUUUAUUUAUUUAGUGUUGAUAUAUUGUUCGAAAUUAGGACAUUAAUUAUUUAAAGAGAAAUUGCAAAUUGAAUUUAUUUUUUCAACUACAGAAACCUACAUAUGUUGUUAAUCUUGUUAUGAGAACUUGUUGACAUGAAAUGACAGCAAUCUUCAACUGAUAAUUUCUGCCAUGACUUUGUUUUUUCUAGUCAUUCCUUCUGUUGAGUAUUUGGUGUCUGGUACAUUAAAUUUCAUUAUCAGGAAUAUUGUUUAUUUUAUUUAUUGCCAUACACAACUACUACUGUGUGGUGUUCAAAGACCUUGACUACACUAUAGGGUCGUGCAUGGUCAGAUGCCAUAUAAGUUACUUAUUUUAAAGUAAGAACAGAUAUAUUGCAUGUACAUGGGACAGUUAACAUUUUUAGACAGAAAAUUAUAAAAAGGUGCAAGAGAGACGGAAGAUACCGAAGGGAUAUUCAAACACAUAAGUUGAAAACAAACUGAAAAUUAAAGACACAACUGUUGACAAAAAAAAACCAUAAAAGACUCAAGUCUGAGCAACAAAAACCAUGCCAAAAAUGAGACUGAUCUCAGCUGCUCCAAACUUUAAAAAAAGA
rnacentral:lncRNA from 1 species